GGUUAGGGUUAGGGUUAGGGUUGGAGCUAGGGUUAGGGUUAGGGUUAGGGUUGGAGUUAGGGUUAGUGUUGGAGCUAGGGUUAGGGUUGGGCUUGGAGCUAGGACUUUUCUGAGUGCAAUGAACCAACUCCCGAGUCUCUUGGACGUUCCUAAAAAAAUUUGAUUUUUUCCCAUAGGAAUGCAUGGGUUAGGGUUAGGGUUAGGGUUGGAGCUAGGGUUAGGGUUAGGGUUAGGGUUGGAGUUAGGGUUAGUGUUGGAGCUAGGGUUAGGGUUGGGCUUGGAGCUAGGAUUUUUCUGAGUGCACUGAACCAACUCCCGAGUCUCUAGGACAUUCCUAAAAAAAUUUGAUUUUUCCCAUAGGAAUGCAUGGGUUAGGGUUAUAAUUAGGGUUAGGGUUGGAGCUAGGGUUAGGGUUAGGGUUAGGGUUGGAGUUAGGGUUAGUGUUGGAGCUAGGGUUAGGGUUGGGCUUGGAGCUAGGACUUUUCUGAGUGCAAUGAACCAACUCCCGAGUCUCUAGGACGUUCCCUAAAAAAAAUUGAUUUUUUCCCAUAGGAAUGCAUGGGUUAGGGUUAGGGUUAGGGUUGGAGCUAGGGUUAGGGUUAGGGUUAGGGUUGGAUUUAGGGUUAGUUUUGGAGCUAGGGUUAGGGUUGGGCUUGGAGCUAGGAUUUUUCUGAGUGCACUGAACCAACUCCCGAGUCUCUAGGACAUUCCUAAAAAAAAUUGAUUUUUUCCCAUAGGAAUGCAUGGUUUAGGGUUAUGGUUAGGGUUAGGGUUGGAGCUAGGGUUAGGGUUAGGGUUAGGGUUGGAGUUAGGGUUAGUGUUGGAGCUAGGGUUAGGGUUGGGCUUGGAGCUAGGAUUUUUCUGAGUGCACUGAACCAACUCCCGAGUCUCUAGGACAUUCCUAAAAAAAAUUGAUUUUUUUCCCAUAGGAAUGCAUGGGUUAGGGUUAUGGUUAGGGUUAGGGUUGGAGCUAGGGUUAGGGUUAGGGUUAGGGUUGGAGUUAGGGUUAGUGUUGGAGCUAGGGUUAGGGUUGGGCUUGGAGCUAGGACUUUUCUGAGUGCAAUGAACCAACUCCCGAGUCUCUUGGACGUUCCUAAAAAAAUUUGAUUUUUUCCCAUAGGAAUGCAUGGGUUAGGGUUAGGGUUAGGGUUGGAGCUAGGGUUAGGGUUAGGGUUAGGGUUGGAGUUAGGGUUAGUGUUGGAGCUAGGGUUAGGGUUGGGCUUGGAGCUAGGAUUUUUCUGAGUGCACUGAACCAACUCCCGAGUCUCUAGGACAUUCCUAAAAAAAAUUGAUUUUUUUCCCAUAGGAAUGCAUGGGUUAGGGUUAUGGUUAGGGUUAGGGUUGGAGCUAGGGUUAGGGUUAGGGUUAGGGUUGGAGUUAGGGUUAGUGUUGGAGCUAGGGUUAGGGUUGGGCUUGGAGCUAGGACUUUUCUGAGUGCAAUGAACCAACUCCCGAGUCUCUUGGACGUUCCUAAAAAAAUUUGAUUUUUUCCCAUAGGAAUGCAUGGGUUAGGGUUAGGGUUAGGGUUGGAGCUAGGGUUAGGGUUAGGGUUAGGGUUGGAGUUAGGGUUAGUGUUGGAGCUAGGGUUAGGGUUGGGCUUGGAGCUAGGAUUUUUCUGAGUGCAAUGAACCAACUCCCGAGUCUCUAGGACGUUCCUAAAAAAAUUUGAUUUUUUUCCCAUAGGAAUGCAUGGGUUAGGGUUAGGGUUAGGGUUGGAGCUAGGGUUAGGGUUAGGGUUAGGGUUGGAGUUAGGGUUAGUGUUGGAGCUAGGGUUAGGGUUGGGCUUGGAGCUAGGAUUUUUCUGAGUGCACUGAACCAACUCCCGAGUCUCUAGGACAUUCCUAAAAAAAAUUGAUUUUUUCCCAUAGGAAUGCAUGGGUUAGGGUUAGGGUUAGGGUUGGAGCUAGGGUUAGGGUUAGGGUUAGGGUUGGAGUUAGGGUUAGUGUUGGAGCUAGGGUUAGGGUUGGGCUUGGAGCUAGGACUUUUCUGAGUGCAAUGAACCAACUCCCGAGUCUCUAGGACGUUCCCUAAAAAAAUUUGAUUUUUUCCCAUAGGAAUGCAUGGGUUAGGGUUAGGGUUAGGGUUGGAGCUAGGGUUAGGGUUAGGGUUAGGGUUGGAGUUAGGGUUAGUGUUGGAGCUAGGGUUAGGGUUGGGCUUGGAGCUAGGAUUUUUCUGAGUGCACUGAACCAACUCCCGAGUCUCUAGGACAUUCCUAAAAAAAUUUGAUUUUUCCCAUAGGAAUGCAUGGGUUAGGGUUAUAAUUAGGGUUAGGGUUGGAGCUAGGGUUAGGGUUAGGGUUAGGGUUGGAGUUAGGGUUAGUGUUGGAGCUAGGGUUAGGGUUGGGCUUGGAGCUAGGAUUUUUCUGAGUGCACUGAACCAACUCCCGAGUCUCUAGGACAUUCCUAAAAAAAUUUGAUUUUUUCCCAUAGGAAUGCAUGGGUUAGGGUUAUGGUUAGGGUUAGGGUUGGAGCUAGGGUUAGGGUUAGGGUUGGAGUUAGGGUUAGUGUUGGAGCUAGGGUUAGGGUUGGGCUUGGAGCUAGGAUUUUUCUGAGUGCACUGAACCAACUCCCGAGUCUCUAGGACAUUCCUAAAAAAAUUUGAUUUUUCCCAUAGGAAUGCAUGGGUUAGGGUUAUAAUUAGGGUUAGGGUUGGAGCUAGGGUUAGGGUUAGGGUUAGGGUUGGAGUUAGGGUUAGUGUUGGAGCUAGGGUUAGGGUUGGGCUUGGAGCUAGGAUUUUUCUGAGUGCACUGAACCAACUCCCGAGUCUCUAGGACAUUCCUAAAAAAAUUUGAUUUUUUCCCAUAGGAAUGCAUGGGUUAGGGUUAUGGUUAGGGUUAGGGUUGGAGCUAGGGUUAGGGUUAGGGUUGGAGUUAGGGUUAGUGUUGGAGCUAGGGUUAGGGUUGGGCUUGGAGCUAGGAUUUUUCUGAGUGCACUGAACCAACUCCCGAGUCUCUAGGACGUUCCUAAAAAAAUUUGAUUUUUUCCCAUAGGAAUGCAUGGGUUAGGGUUAGGGUUAGGGUUGGAGCUAGGGUUAGGGUUAGGGUUAGGGUUAGGGUUAGGGUUGGAGUUAGGGUUAGUGUUGGAGCUAGGGUUAGGGUUGGGCUUGGAGCCAGGAUUUUUUUGAGUGCACUGAACCAACUCCCGAGUCUCUAGGACAUUCCUAAAAAAAUUUGAUUUUUUCCCAUAGGAAUGCAUGGGUUAGGGUUAGGGUUAGGGUUGGAGCUAGGGUUAGGGUUAGGGUUAGGGUUGGAGUUAGGGUUAGUGUUGGAGCUAGGGUUAGGGUUGGGCUUGGAACUAGGAUUUUUCUGAGUGCACUGAACCAACUCCCGA
rnacentral:lncRNA from 1 species